GAGUUUGAUCCUGGCUCAGAUUGAACGCUGGCGGCAUGCCUUACACAUGCAAGUCGAACGGCAGCACGGGAGCUUGCUCCUGGUGGCGAGUGGCGAACGGGUGAGUAAUGCAUCGGAACGUAUCCUGGAGUGGGGGAUAACGUAGCGAAAGUUACGCUAAUACCGCAUAUUCUGUGAGCAGGAAAGCGGGGGACCUUCGGGCCUCGCGCUCUUGGAGCGGCCGAUGUCGGAUUAGCUAGUUGGUGAGGUAAAGGCUCACCAAGGCGACGAUCCGUAGCAGGUCUGAGAGGAUGAUCUGCCACACUGGAACUGAGACACGGUCCAGACUCCUACGGGAGGCAGCAGUGGGGAAUUUUGGACAAUGGGUGCAACCCUGAUCCAGCCAUGCCGCGUGAGUGAAGAAGGCC
rnacentral:rRNA from 1 species